rnacentral:pre_miRNA from 1 species
UUUCUAUUCUUUUCGUUUCAAAAUUUUUGUCUUAGAUUUAUUUAGAUAUAAAUGUAUUUAGUCGUGUUUUAGUAUUUUGAUACAUUCAUUUUUAAAUAAAUCUAAGACAAGAAUUUUAGGACGGAGGAAGUACUUU